UUUAUGGAGAGUUUGAUCCUGGCUCAGGAUGAACGCUGGCGGCGUGCCUAAUACAUGCAAGUCGAGCGAACGGACGAGAAGCUUGCUUCUCUGAUGUUAGCGGCGGACGGGUGAGUAACACGUGGAUAACCUACCUAUAAGACUGGGAUAACUUCGGGAAACCGGAGCUAAUACCGGAUGAUAUUUUGAACCGCAUGGUUCAAAAGUGAAAGACGGUCUUGCUGUCACUUAUAGAUGGAUCCGCGCUGCAUUAGCUAGUUGGUAAGGUAACGGCUUACCAAGGCAACGAUGCAUAGCCGACCUGAGAGGGUGAUCGGCCACACUGGAACUGAGACACGGUCCAGACUCCUACGGGAGGCAGCAGUAGGGAAUCUUCCGCAAUGGGCGAAAGCCUGACGGAGCAACGCCGCGUGAGUGAUGAAGGUCUUCGGAUCGUAAAACUCUGUUAUUAGGGAAGAACAUAUGUGUAAGUAACUGUGCACAUCUUGACGGUACCUAAUCAGAAAGCCACGGCUAACUACGUGCCAGCAGCCGCGGUAAUACGUAGGUGGCAAGCGUUAUCCGGAAUUAUUGGGCGUAAAGCGCGCGUAGGCGGUUUUUUAAGUCUGAUGUGAAAGCCCACGGCUCAACCGUGGAGGGUCAUUGGAAACUGGAAAACUUGAGUGCAGAAGAGGAAAGUGGAAUUCCAUGUGUAGCGGUGAAAUGCGCAGAGAUAUGGAGGAACACCAGUGGCGAAGGCGACUUUCUGGUCUGUAACUGACGCUGAUGUGCGAAAGCGUGGGGAUCAAACAGGAUUAGAUACCCUGGUAGUCCACGCCGUAAACGAUGAGUGCUAAGUGUUAGGGGGUUUCCGCCCCUUAGUGCUGCAGCUAACGCAUUAAGCACUCCGCCUGGGGAGUACGACCGCAAGGUUGAAACUCAAAGGAAUUGACGGGGACCCGCACAAGCGGUGGAGCAUGUGGUUUAAUUCGAAGCAACGCGAAGAACCUUACCAAAUCUUGACAUCCUUUGACAACUCUAGAGAUAGAGCCUUCCCCUUCGGGGGACAAAGUGACAGGUGGUGCAUGGUUGUCGUCAGCUCGUGUCGUGAGAUGUUGGGUUAAGUCCCGCAACGAGCGCAACCCUUAAGCUUAGUUGCCAUCAUUAAGUUGGGCACUCUAAGUUGACUGCCGGUGACAAACCGGAGGAAGGUGGGGAUGACGUCAAAUCAUCAUGCCCCUUAUGAUUUGGGCUACACACGUGCUACAAUGGACAAUACAAAGGGCAGCGAAACCGCGAGGUCAAGCAAAUCCCAUAAAGUUGUUCUCAGUUCGGAUUGUAGUCUGCAACU
rnacentral:rRNA from 1 species